CCUACGGUGCGCAGCAGUGGGGAAUAUUGGACAAUGGGCGAAAGCCUGAUCCAGCCAUGCCGCGUGUGUGAAGAAGGCCUUCGGGUUGUAAAGCACUUUCAGUGGGGAAGAAAGCCUUGGGGCUAAUACCCUCGAGGAAGGACAUCACCCACAGAAGAAGCACCGGCUAACUCCGUGCCAGCAGCCGCGGUAAUACGGAGGGUGCGAGCGUUAAUCGGAAUUACUGGGCGUAAAGCGCGCGUAGGCGGUCUGAUAAGCCGGUUGUGAAAGCCCCGGGCUCAACCUGGGAACGGCAUCCGGAACUGUCAGGCUAGAGGGCAGGAGAGGAAGGUAGAAUUCCCGGUGUAGCGGUGAAAUGCGUAGAGAUCGGGAGGAAUACCAGUGGCGAAGGCGGCCUUCUGGACUGACACUGACGCUGAGGUGCGAAAGCGUGGGUAGCAAACAGGAUUAGAUACCCUAGUAGUC
rnacentral:rRNA from 1 species